UACGGAGGGUGCGAGCGUUGUCCGGAAUCACUGGGCGUAAAGGGCGCGUAGGCGGCCGUGUAAGUCACUUGUGAAAUCCCGGGGCUCAACUCCGGGGCUGCAGGUGAGACUGCAUGGCUAGAGCUUGGUAGAGGCGAGUGGAAUUCCCGGUGUAGCGGUGGAAUGCGUAGAUAUCGGGAAGAACACCGAUGGCGAAGGCAGCACUCUGGGCCGGUACUGACGCUGAGGAGCGAAAGCGUGGGGAGCGAACAGG
rnacentral:rRNA from 1 species